GACGAACGCUGGCGGCGUGCCUAAUACAUGCAAGUUGAGCGCUGAAGGGUGGUACUUGUACCAACUGGGUGAGCAGCGAACGGGUGAGUAACGCGUGGGGAAUCUGCCUUUGAGCGGGGGACAACAUUUGGAAACGAAUGCUAAUACCGCAUAACAACUUUAACCACAAGGUUUAAGAUUGAAAGAUGCAAUUGCAUCACCCAAAGGUGAUCCCGCGUUGUCUUAGCUAGUUGGUGAGGGAAAGGCUCACCAAGGCGAUGAUACAUAGCCGGACCGAGAGGGGGAACCGGCACACUGGGACCUGGAACACGGCCAAAACUCCUACGGGGGCAGCAGGAGGGGAACCUUGGCAAAUGGCGGAAGGCUUACCGAGGCACGGCGGGGGAGGGAAGAAGGGUCUCGGAUCGUAAAAAUCCGUUUGUAGGGAAGGAAGAAGGUGGGAGUGGAAAGCGCAUGAAGUGACGGUACCUACUCAGAAAGGGACGGCUAACUACGUG
rnacentral:rRNA from 1 species